GGGCGACACACGGGGCUGUGAACCGCGCCAAGCGCAGUCCGAGCCAGGCCCUCUCCUCGCUGCACACAUCCACGGUAACGGGACCGGAGACCUGCCACCACCCAGGAGGGGAAACGGAUCUCGUGAGGUAGAUUUGAGGAAGCCGUUUGGAGACUGAACUCUCAUUCUUCAAACGGGGCACUGGAGCAAGGGUCAGGGAGAGCCUUGGAGCAGGUGUGUCUAGCGCGCACCGGAAACCCCCAGGAGCAGCGGCCUGAGGAUUCUCACGGGUAGGGAUGGCAUAGCUUCCCGUUGGGAGCCUGAGGGUGGCCUGCCAGUGGAGCUGUGCCUGUAGGCGCCAGGACACAGGGCCUCCACCCACGAGCAUGCCCCUGGCCAGCCCAACAGGACUGCAUGCGUUUGUACAACACUUUGAAAUGUGACUAGAAAAAAUAUGAACGCCUGUAAGUUCAGGAGUCGAGGUGUAUAUCCAUCACCCACUGGACCUGCAGCAUUUGGACAAAACAUGGACAAACAUUUGUGUCCUUAGCAUUUUUGACCUCGGUUCCCACAUAAAUGAACGCCUUUUAAACUGUAAGGGAGAAUACGUGCACUCGAAUACCACUUCAUCAAAGUCUUGUCUGAAUGCUGCCUUGGAGUCUGAUGUAUCAGUGAAGAACAAAGGCCAGUGAGCUGGAUGUCUGGGUGGCCUGGUUCCUCGUUCCUCGUUCCACUUUGCUGGCUUGUGGUUUCUAAUCUUGUGGUUAUCAUUAUGCUGCCCA